rnacentral:lncRNA from 10 species
GCCGAACUGGCUGUAAACAGAUAUACAAAUAGACACGACACAGGUCUAUUGAAGAAGCUGGAUUUGAAGACUACGUUUCUGUUUGGGUUCGCUGCCUCUUUUCCAGCAAGCAUGGGAGGACCAAGUAGGUGUCACCACCAUUCUGUGCUCUGGGGUUACAGUCACAAACAUGACAAAAUGCUCUCAUGAAGCUUAUAUUCUGGAGAUAAUGGAUGAGGUUGGGGCUGGAGGUAUAAAUUUGAAGACCAGCAUGUGUAGAUGGCAUUUAAAACCACAGAACUGGGGCGAGGCCUGGUGGCUCAUGCCUGUAAUCCUAGCACUUUGGGAGGCCAAGGUGGGAGGAUCACUUGAGCCCAGGAGUUUGAGACCAGCAUGGCCAACAUAGUGAGGCCUCAGCCUCAACAAAAGAUUUUAAAAAUUAGCUGAACAUGGUGGUGCACCCCUGUGGUCCCAGCUACUGGGGAGGCUGAGGUGGGAGGGUUGCUUGAGCCUGGGAGGUAAAGGCUGCAGUGAGCUAUGAUCACACCACUACACUCGAGCCUGGGCGACAGAGCAAGACCCUGUCAGAGAGAAAGGGGAGGGGAGGGGAGGAAGGAAGGAAGGAGAGAGAGAGAAAGAAAGAAAAAAGAAAAAACCACAUAACUGAGUAUAAAGAAAAAAGUGGGAACUUUGGAGCACACCCACAUUUAUAGGUUGGGAAGAGGAAAAGGGUCUAGCAAAAGGGACUGAGAAGGAGUCUGCCAUGAAGUGAGGGGGGACUCAGAAGAGUCUGGGUUUCUGGUGGACACUGAAGAAAGUUUUCAGCCUUCUGCCGUCAGCCUCUCUUGGAACUGCUCUGAGCCUAGGGAGCUACCUCACUUGAAGGCUCUCCUAGAAGCCGCCAGCCAAUGACGAGUUGCUAUGAGGUGUAAAGACCCCACCCCCUUGCCUUACUUUGGAACACCUCUGCAGGGCCAUCUCAGUUCCAGAGCUUCCAUUAGGUCAGGCUGAGGCCUCUGUUGAGACUACAUCAGCAGUUCAGCUUCUUCUUCCGCCCAACCCGUCAUUCCCCUACUGGUGAUAUUCGCAAGAGCACUCCGAUAAACCUACACUCAAAUCUUGCUAUCGGAGUCUGUUUCGGGGGACCCGACCUAAAACAACCAUUGUAGCCCCAGCCCAGAGCCGUGCACAUAG